rnacentral:lncRNA from 1 species
GUGUAAAGCAUAUUUAAUGAAUAAACAAGGAAAUCAUUCAAAAUAUUUAAUUUCACAAAAUCGGUAUACAUAGUGUGGAUUUAUACAAGUUAAUAUAUAUUAAUAUAGAUCAAGCUAUUAACUAGGAUAUUACUAGGUAGUAAAGGGGCAUUCCACCGUCUUAGAUACUAGUAACAAAUAAAUGCAUAUGAUCAGCACAAUUGUCUUUAUUGAAAUAGGCAAGUUUGACUUAGGAAUAUACAAUAUAUUGUAUACUUAUAAUUUUAUAAUUAUGUAGUGGAGGAUUCAUACAAUUAUAUAUUUAAUGAUUCAUACAAUUAUGCAGUUAGUGAUUCAUACAAUUAUGCAUUUAAUAAUUCAUAGAAUUAUGCAUUGAAUGAUUCAUACAAUUAUGCAGUUAAUGAUUCAUACAAUUAUGCAUUUAGUAAUUCAUAGAAUUAUGCAUUGAAUGAUUCAUACAAUUAUGCAGUUAAUGAUUCAUACAAUUAUGCAUUUAAUAAUUCAUAGAGUUAUGCAUUGAAUGAUUCAUAUAAUUAUGUAGUGGAGGAUUCAUACAAUUAUAGAAUUAUGCAUUGAAUGAUUCAUACAAUUAUGCAGUUAAUGAUUCAUACAAUUAUGCAUUUAAUAAUUCAUAGAAUUAUGAAUUGAAUGAUUC